GAGUUUGAUCCUGGCUCAGAACGACCGCUGGCGGCAGGCCUAACACAUGCAAGUCGAACGCUCCCUUCGGGGGGAGUGGCGGACGGGUGAGUAACGCGUGGGAACCUGGCUCUUGGUACGGAACAACCGCGGGAAACUGCGGCUAAUACCGUAUACGCCCUGAGGGGGAAAGAUUUAUCGCCGAGGGAUGGGCCCGCGUCUGAUUAGCUAGUUGGUGAGGUAACGGCUCACCAAGGCAUCGAUCAGUAGCUGGUCUGAGAGGAUGAUCAGCCACACUGGGACUGAGACACGGCCCAGACUCCUACGGGAGGCAGCAGUGGGGAAUAUUGGACAAUGGGGGCAACCCUGAUCCAGCCAUGCCGCGUGAGUGACGAAGGCCUUAGGGUUGUAAAGCUCUUUCAGUGGUGACGAUGAUGACGGUAGCCACAGAAGAAGCCCCGGCUAACUCCGUGCCAGCAGCCGCGGUAAUACGGAGGGGGCAAGCGUUGUUCGGAAUUACUGGGCGUAAAGGGCGCGUAGGCGGUCUGUUGCGUCAGGUGUGAAAGCCCCGGGCUCAACCUGGGAGGUGCACUUGAUACGGGCA
rnacentral:rRNA from 1 species